rnacentral:rRNA from 1 species
AUUGAACGCUGGCGGCAGGCCUAACACAUGCAAGUCGAACGAGUGGCGGACGGGUGAGUAAUGUCUGGGAAACUGCCUGAUGGAUGGGGAUAACUACUGGAAACGGUAGCUAAUACCGCAUACCAUCAGAUGUGCCCAUAUGGGAUUAGCUUGUUGGUGGGGUACAGGCUCAGCAAGGCGCACAUCCCUCGCUGGUCUGAGAGGAUGACCAUCCACACGGUAACUGGGACACGGUCCAGACUCCGACGGGAGGCAGAAGUGGGAAAUAUUGCAAAAUGGGCGCAAGCCGGCUGCAGCCAUGCCGAGUGUAUGAAGAAGGCCUUCGGGUUGUAAAGUACUUUCAGCGGGGAGGCGUUACCCGCAGAAGAAGCACCGGCUAACUCCGUGCCAGCAGCCGCGGUAAUAC